UACGUAGGUGGCAAGCGUUGUCCGGAUUUACUGGGCGUAAAGAGCGCGCAGGCGGUCGUUCAAGUCGCGUGUGAAAGCCCCCGGCUCAACUGGGGAGGGUCACGCGAUACUGAUCGACUCGAAGGCAGGAGAGGGUAGUGGGAUUCCCGGUGUAGUGGUGAAAUGCGUAGAUAUCUGGAGGAACACCGGUGGCGAAGGCGGCGAUCCUGGACCGACACUGACGCUGAGGAGCGAAAGCAUGGGGAGCGAACAGGA
rnacentral:rRNA from 1 species